rnacentral:rRNA from 1 species
UGGGGGAUAUUGCACAAUGGGCGAAAGCCUGAUGCAGCGACGCCGGGUGGGGGAUGAAGGCCUUCGGGUUGUAAACUUCUUUUGCUCUGAACAAGGCGCACCAUGGGGUGUGUUGAGUGUAGGGGUUGAUUAGCGCCGGCUAACUACGUGCCAGCAGCCGCGGUAAUACGUAGGGCGCGAGCGUUGUCCGGAAUUAUUGGGCGUAAAGGGCUUGUAGGUGGCUGGUUGCGUCUGUCGUGAAAGCUCAUGGCUUAACUGUGGGUUUGCGGUGGGUACGGGCUGGCUUGAGUGCAGUAGGGGAGGCUGGAAUUCCUGGUGUAGCGGUGGAAUGCGCAGAUAUCAGGAGGAAUACCGGUGGCGAAGGCGGGUCUCUGGGCUGUUACUGACACUGAGGAGCGAAAGCAUGGGGAGCGAACAGG